CAGUUAAUACCACAAAGCACAUUUAUUUAUUAAAGAAUGGACAGGCAUCCAUGCACAGUGCAUCUAUAUGCAUCCACUCAGCCUUAAUGAAAUACUUUCACUAUGCAUUAAAAGUAGCCAUCUUUCAAUCAUUCGGAGCUGUCAGAAUCCAGCCUUUUUUCUCUCUCUCUAAAUGGGGUUGUAGAUACACUCUUUGAUAGCUAAUAUGUCUGUGGCUCAUCUGGCUUUUGAAUCUAAGGUAAGUGGAUAAACUGCAGCAAUUCAGAAAGAAAGGGAGGAAGAACAAUGACUUAAAGAAAAUUUGUUUUAUGUGUUUAGGGAGAGUUGAAUAUAGUGCUCUUCCUUCUGUUCUUGUCCUUGCAGUCUGUAGGUAGCAGAGGGAUUUGGCCAUGCAAAAAGCGGGCUCACCUUUGGCUCUAGACCAAUCCCAGAGAAUUCCAGCCCACAGAAUCUGAUACUCCAGCUCAUAUUUAGUAGCCUAAUGUCCUGACUAACUCUGUAGGUAUGACUCAGCAUGAGCAGGAGAGCCAAACCCCAGCCCUGAAUGUUUCUGAAGGUUAGGAAUGUCAAAUGGGCUGUAAGAAGUAGCUGUUUCUGGCUUCUCCAGAGAAGCAUGAGGUGAUGCUGCCUGAAGGAAAGCUGCUGCUUUUGAAUCUUCUGAUUUUUUGUUUAAUUUUUUUUUAAACUGCUGCCCAUUCUAAAUGGGAAUGAUGCUGGCUUCAAUAUCAUCUUCCACUAGUUUUGUCCCUGCGAUUUAUGGUCUGAAGAAGAGAUCUAAUUCUGAUUCUCCUAUUAUUAUUUAUUGCAAUGUUGCUGUUCUGUCAAUGCUCAGAGAAUUCAAAGAGGAUUGGACCCAACAGGCCGUGGGAUGUUCAUAUCCAGAGUAUGACAUGGGCACGUGGUUGAGAGCUGGCCUAGUUGGUCCCCGUAGUGCCUGUGCCCUACCUUGGUGGGAAUUCCUGCAGCAGCACUUAUGAAACAACUGGUUUCACAGCACUUCAUUUUGGCACAGUGAGUUCCACACAAACCUUGUGGGGCAGGCUUAUCUUUUGCACACACCGUCUUUUAUAACGUAAUCUGUUGGCAUCGGAGGAUGAAAACCAUUGUAAAAGGGAAAUCAUGAAAAAGAAGCGUGUUCCUCCAGAUGACUGGAGUCAGCUGACUUUAAUCCACGCUAAUAUUUUAGUUUGAUUUCCUCAGGAAAUGAAGCCUAGCUGAUAGGAUGCAUCAAUCUGUUUUUUCCAUGUGUUGUUCCUCCCAACCAAUUUCAACCACAUUUAAAAGAGGGCGGAAAGCUGGAAAGUGAGUUUGCACCUGUAUGGUUCUUAAUAGCUGGUGAUUAGGUAAUGCCUCACUCUGUCCAUAGGGGAAAGGCACCUGGUGGCAGCCAGCCAGGACAAACGGUAUCUCUUGUUUUGCAUUGCAGCGGGCAUUUUGGUCAACCCAGAAAGCAAGUACGCACUUCUGGACUACCCACAGCAAACAGUUUAUCUUUGCUGCAGGGGAUGUCACAGGGAUAUGAUGGGAUCUGGCCAUGGGAAGGCAGGCUUUGUAAUUUCUGUUUGCAGAGCAGCUUGCUCUAAAGCAGUCUGAAAAGGAAUACUUCUGGAAGGCUGAGCAGUCUCUGCGUCCCCAGCUGCAAAAGAGCACCUUUUUU
ensembl:lncRNA